AUAUAUCAAAUCAAGAAUUUUUUCAAUUAUUUUCAUCUUUAAUUAUCUCAUAUAUUACUGUUGCAAUGUCAUUUCAUCAUUUGUUUUCUCUUAUUAGCAAUAUAUGUAUCCGUUAUUGCGUAAUUGAUAAGUGUUAUUGGAGCGGAACUUUCCGAGGAGGAUAGAGAAGUAUUGAAUGCCAGAAUUUAUAUACUACUGUGUUUUAUAGCCAUCGUUUCCAAAGUAGACUGCAGUGGCGUCACUUGGCGACGAAAAUUUCAAACUUGCGGCGCGUUUCAUUUCCAAGAAUCGUCGGAUGACUCAUACGUCGAGUUGUGUGGGCGGUGAACGGGGUAGCCGGAACAUAUCGAACAAGACGCAUGACUCACCAAUCUGAUAUGUCGGAUACUCGCGCCUUAACCUGCUCCCUCUGGAUGGCUAGACGUUCCUGAACCUGUGGUUUCCUCCGCUUAAAAGCAUACAGGUGCCACCUGUGUAACCAACUGACCAAGAUACACGAAGAAGCUAGAUUCAAACAUCUGGUGAUAAUAGCAAUGAGAAGAGGUUAUCGUAAUUUAACAUACAAUUUUUCUUCAUCGUGACGUACGCAUUACACAGGCAAAAAUUAAAGGAUUAAAAAUUAAGAUAAGAUAUUGUUUUAAUUAAUUUUAGGCUAUGAUCUAAUUAAUAUUAAAAAAUUUCAAUUGAGUUUAUUAUUACUAUUAUCUAUUGGAUAUAAUACGAUAUUAUCUUUUAUAUUUUCUAAUAAUUAUUUAUAUAAUCAUUAUUUUUUAAUCAAAUUAGAUCUAUUUAGCACAGUAUUAUACUUCAAAAGAUACGUCUCAUUACGGGCAUGAAGCACAAGGAAUUGACAUUCACCUGCUUAGCUUCACACCAUGAUGAAAUUCGAAUAGACAGGCGGUCGUCGUCCUUGAGCUAACUUCUGCCUAUAGCCAAGGCCUCGACUUAACAGCACAUUUGAAACGUUACCCGAUUGGAAAAAUUACGACGCCAAGGAAUGUCAUUGCCAUUUUGUAAAUCGGUGCCGCGAGAGUGAUCUGCCUCAUAUGAAGCUCAGAGAAUAUACGAAUCUCGUUGUUUUGCCUGUUUCAUAUUUGCUUGUUUUUCAUUAAAAUAUAGGUUAAGUGUCGUUCGUGAUGAUUUCGAGGUUAACAAAUCAUUUAUCGAUUUUCCUAGUAAGAAAAAGACGAGGAGACGCAUCUAUCAUGCGAGAUAUAUUAUAAAAAUUCUUGAUAUUAACAUAUGCGCAUUUAAUAAUUGAAAUGACGAUUGGUUUAUUGGUGCAAUCAACUCAAGUUUCUUUUCUUAUCUUAUCUUUAUGUGUAACACAGAUAAAAAAAAACUAGCUAUUUUAGCAGUUGCCAAUAAUAAUGAUUGAGAAUUGACGAAUAUAAAAACAUAUAACUAUUUGAUUAUUAUUAUUUAUAUUGAUUUUUUAUUUUGUCUAUCUUUUUUCGAUGCAGUAUAUUUUUUUUGUUUUCUUGAUUCAAUUAGUCUCGAUAUGACAAUACGAUAUGAUAUGAUAAGCCAAUGUAUGUAGUAAAUACUUGAUGAUAAGUUAUCAGUUGAAUAUAAUUUUUUAAAAUCUAAUUGCAUCUAAAAUAACAAUUCUUGCAAAUACGAAAUACGACAAAAAAUGAGCCAUUAUCAUUAUUCAUUAUUCUAUAUUUAUACACUCAUUAAUCGCUGUACUCCUUCCGUGGCGACACACACAAGUCUAAGAUAAUGUGGUUGCUGAUUUCACGGAAUUUGAAACAAAGAAGGAAAAAUUUAAUCAUAAAAAUGUCAUCGAACAAUUUGCAAGCAAUACAAUGAGAGAAUCAUGAAAUCGAGCACGUUUGGACUCUGUUCUCAGUUGCAGCUGUGGCGGGCAAGUUCGAACAACACAGCGUGGAAGUUGCGCGAAAUGAGUCAAUACUCGCUCCCGUUGCCUCUUGCAAAACGCACGUGCGUUUCGGUUCGCUUGUGCUGUUUGCAAACGUUGGAGAUAAAACGUAUUGGUUGAGAAGAUACAUCGCCAAUAAGCACGCGUGUUAAUAAAUUUGGUCGAUAGCCGUGCAAACAAGCAUUUAUAUGCAACUUUCAUCCUACAUAUACACAUGAAUAAUAUCGAUCGAUAUAAUUUUUAAUAAUAAUAAUUAUACGCAAUAUAAUUAUGCGGAUUAACAAAGAAAUAUUUCUUUAUUUAUUUUUUUCAGAUUUAACUUUAUCAAAUAAAUGAAUUUAUUGGAGAGAAUGUAAUAACAGUUUUCGUUAUCAUCAAUAACAACAGACAGGAAGACAAAGUUGAAAUUGCUUUAUCGUAGUUUGAUAUAUUUAUCCUCUUUUGCGCUUAUCAAGGUUGACGACUAGGAGGAAGGUAAUGGAGUAAGUAACCGAUAGAAAAACGAAACAAAGGCAUUGUUUUUCCCUGAGAAAUCAAUUUCGUUGGAAAUAUUGCCAAGAAUGUAAAUUGCGAAGGACGAUUAUAUUUAUUAGGAAAUAUGUUCAUUUUAUCGAUGCAAACAAAUAUAAACGUUAAAUGUUAUGUGAUUUUAAUAUCGGUUUUUUAUUCGAUUGUAAAUUAUCAAAUAAAAAACGAAAAAUUUCGUAGAUCGUUAAAUAAAAUAAUUUAGUAGAAUUGCAGUCAAUAUUUUUUGAAGCGGCAAACAGAUGUGUUUGUGCAUGUUGCAUUGUGGGCAACGGUGCGUGGGCGUAAACAGUCGGGCGCCAGCAUGGAAUUAUAAAUUUUAAAGUGGCGAGUUUAAAUUUCGUUAAUCUCUUUUGGUAUUCACAUGCGGCGAAAGUAGAAAAACAAUAAUAUGUAUGAUUCUUCAUGUACAUUCGGCGAGAUAUUUAGCCCAAGUAACUAUUGUAUGUAAAAUAGUGGAAUCUUGAUAAUAAUAUUCCCAUCUUUAAAGGAAAGUUUUAUUCAUGUCGUAACCUCGUUGUAAAAAGAAAAUGAAUUUACGAUCAUGUUUAAUUAAAUAUUUAAUUUUAUAUAUUGAUUAUAUCAUCUAUACAUUAACUUUUAGAAGAAUGCAAUCAUUUGAUAUGAUUAAUAAGCAAGGCAAAGAUUACAAUUUCUGCAUUACGUUUGCAGUUCUACAAAAUUGUUAAAUAUCAUUGUAAUCAUGAAAAAGAAAUUUUAUGCUGUGUUAUAUGUUACGAUUAUCGUUGCAAUUAGUCAUAUCACUAUCAGGAAUGAGUAAGAUUUAAGCAUGCAGGAAAUGUUUUGGUAGACUUAUAGUCUUUGUGUAUGAGUAGUCCUACGAGGGAUACCGACGCUUAAAUGCCACGAGAUAAGAAGUAGUUUAACAUGCGUUACAUUGUGAUUUCAAUUUUUUUAAGCUGCUGUCAGAUAAACCAGAAAUUUAACAACAGUCGAGAUAAUAUCGGGUUGGCUU
rnacentral:lncRNA from 1 species